UGAGUUCAGAGUUUAAUCAGGUGAAUUGACUCAACUCUGUGUUUGAUCCAGACUCCAGUGAGCUUCGUCACUAUGAGACUCUACAAGACUGCGAUUCAUGCUGGACGCUGCUGUUCUCUCUGUGUCCAACAUUUGCUGUUCUCUCCUCUCUCCUUUCAUCUCUUUUGGUUUAUCGCCUUUGUCAGAAAACAGCUAAAGAACCUCAGAUUGAUGAGCAAACAGCUGACACUAGAGGUCAAACAAGACUGAACCAGGGUGAAGAUGUGUGUUAUGCUGCACUGGAACACUGUCAGGCAUCACAAAGACCAAAGAAGAAGAAAACUGCAAGUUCUGACUUCAGCACUUAUUCUGCCAUCAAUACCUCUAGAGUGUAAAGAGUCACAAGAAGUUGUAUAAUGAAUUAAUUAUUGUUGAUACAUAUAGACUAUUCUGUAAAUAAGCGUAAAGUUAAGCAACAGUCAUUACCAUCAAUAACUGACCUGUGAGAAAAUGUGUAUGUAUAAACUAGCCUCCUUUGUUGUGAAGGUUGAAAGCAAUUGUUUGUUUGGAAAAGUUCAUACUAAACUCUACUUUUUUGUGUCAAUUCUCCAAUGAGGAUAAAUAUACAGUAACUGUUGUUUUGCUGUAUUGUUUAGUAGUUCAUGAAGUCAUCAGUGCUUCCACUGUGUACUUCCACUUCAAAUGUUUCGGAUUGUUUCUAAUUGUUUUGAAUUUUCCUCUGUUAGUGGCCUGAACCACAAUUUAUAUGAAUUCAUUGUGUUCAUUUGUUCAUUCAUUCUUCUAAGAAUAUACAUGCUUUUAUCUCAUCAUGGCUGGAUUACUGUAACAGAUUUUUUACAUGCCUGAAUAGUAAACUGUAGAGCAGCUACAGACAGUACAGAACUCAGCUGCCAGGCUUUGAACCAGAGUAAACAUGUUUGAACACGUCACCCCAGUUUUAGCCUCUUUACACUGCCUCCCAGUAUGUUUUAGAAUUUUAGAUUUCAAGGUUCUUUUAAUUACUUAAGACGCACUAAAUGGUCUAACUUCUCAAUAUAUCUCAGAUCGUUUAUCUACGUACGACUGUUGGCUGAAGAUUUCGGGGGACAGAGCUUUUGAAAUGAGAGCCCCGAAGCUCUGGAACAACCUGCCUGAGGAAAUGAGGCAGGCUGAGUCAGUGGCUUCCUUUUACGUACUUUUAUCACACCACCUUCCCUGAUUUCACCUGAUUCUAGUUUUUAUUCUGUGUUAUGGGUUUUAUUAUUUUAGUUUUGU